UACGGAGGGUGCGAGCGUUAAUCGGAAUUACUGGGCGUAAAGCGUACGUAGGCGGUUGGGGAAGUCGGAUGUGAAAUCCCUGGGCUUAACCUGGGAACUGCAUUCGAUGCUGCCUCGCUGGAGUAUCGGAGAGGGGGGCGGAAUUUCCGGUGUAGAGGUGAAAUGGGUAGAUAUCGGAAGGAACACCAGUGGCGAAGGCGGCCACCUGGCCGGUGACUGACGCUGAGACGCGAAAGCGUGGGGAGCAAACAGG
rnacentral:rRNA from 1 species